CCCCUGGUGACACACUAAGCAAUAUUAUAUCAGCUAUCUGGGUAUCCCCUAAGCCAGUCAAGAUGACACAUAAAAUUAAUCAUCACACUGACCAAGACUUCAUCUCGAUGUGUUCACAUCUGUGAUCAAAAUUUGGGUUUUAGAUUUAUCUCUGGCAAUGAUACAUAAUGCUUUAUUCACAUUUUACUGGCCAGAAAAUAAGUCACCUUUGGACCUGGAGUUAGAAAGAUGGAAAGUCAGAUAUAUUUGGGCUACAGCAAAAAUAGCCAACACGAAAGUUGAAUACAAAUUCCAGGUUGAUAACAAUGGAAUCAGUACUGUCCUUUUCUUAGAAUCACUGAAUUAUGAUUAAAAAAUAAAAGUUCACUGAAUUUUCUUAGAAUCACUAAAUUAUGAUUAGAAAACUAAAGUUCCCAGAGAUUACUGAUUUGCUUAAGAUCAUAAGACAAUACAUGCACCCCUUUUCUACUUCGAUACCUUUCUUCUUUAAAAACUAGCUCCUACCUUCAAGAAUUUCACAUUCUAUUGAUUAAAAAAAAAAA